UACGUAGGGGGCAAGCGUUGUCCGGAUUUAUUGGGCGUAAAGAGCGUGUAGGCGGCCAGACAGGUCCGUUGUGAAAACUCGAGGCUCAACCUCGAGAUGUCGAUGGAAACCGUCUGGCUAGAGUCCGGAAGAGGAGUGUGGAAUUCCUGGUGUAGCGGUGAGAUGCGCAGAUAUCAGGAAGAACACCUAUGGCGAAGGCAGCACUCUGGGACGGUACUGACGCUGAGACGCGAAAGCGUGGGGAGCGAACAGG
rnacentral:rRNA from 1 species